CUAAAUACUACCCAGUGACCGAUAGCGUAUAGUACUGUGAAGGAAAGGUGAAAAGCACCCCGGGAGGGGAGUGAAAAAGAACCUGAAACCCUGUGCCUACAAGCACCUAGAGCACGUCAAUGUGUGAUAGGGUACUUUUUGUAGAACGGUCCGGCGAGCGAUUGUAUGCAGCAAGGUUAAGGACUUAAGGUCUGGAGCCGAAGCGAAAGCGAGUUUGAAAAGGGCGUUAAGUUGCAUAUAAUGGGCCCGAAACCGGGUGACCUACCCAUGGUCAGGUUGAAGUGGAAGUAAAAUUCCAUGGAGGACCGAACCGACCUCCGUUGAAAAGGCGGCGGAUGAACUGUGGGUAGCGGAGAAAUUCCAAUCGAACCCGGAGAUAGCUGGUUCUCCCCGAAAUAGUUUUAGGACUAGCCUCAAGUUAGAUACCUGGAGGUAAAGCACUGAAUAGCCUAGCGGCCGAGAGGUUAGCGAAGCUUAUCAAACUCAGAAUGCCAGAGUAUUGAUGCUUGGGAGUCAGACAGUGUCAGAUAAAUGUCAUUGUCAAAAGGGAAACAGCCCAGAUCUACAGCUAAGGUCCCAAAGUCAGGUUAAGUGGAAAACGAUGUGAAGAUACGCAGACAACCAGGAUGUUGGCUCAGAAGCAGCCACUCAUUCAAAGAGUGCGUAAUAGCUCACUGGUCGAGCGUCUUUGCGCGGAGAAUUUAACGGGGCUAAACCUGACACCGAAGCUUAGGCAAUACAGCAAUGUAUUGGGUAGGGGAGCGUUGUAUACGCGGAGAAACAGUAGCGCAAGCGGCUGUGGAGUGUAUAGAAGUGAGAAUGCCGGAAUGAGUAGCGCGAAUGCAGUGAGAAUCUGCAUGGCCGAAAGCCUCAGGUUUCUGGAGGAAGGUUCGUCCGCUCCAGGUUAGUCGGGAGCUAAGGUGAGGCCUAACGGCGUAGCCGAUGCACAGACGGUAGAGAUUCCGUCACCACCAAAAGAGUUAAGCACAGGGACACAUAUGAAGUCUCAGAGCCGGGUGUUGGUUCCGGUAGAGAUCGAGGGAAAUUAGUACCGAAGUCUGAGAUGGAAGAUGGCGAGAAAAGCUGUGUGUAUUUCUGAGGUGCCCGUACCGCAAACCGACACAGGUAGGUAGGAAGAAGAUUCUAAGGCCAACGGGAGAAGGGUUGUUAAGGAACUCGGCAAAUUGACCCCGUAACUUCGGGAGAAGGGGUGCUCCAGAGAUGGAGCCGCAGAGAAUCGGCCCAAGCAACUGUUUACCAAAAACACAGGUUUGUGCUAAAUCGAAAGAUGACGUAUACGAGCUGACGCCUGCCCGGUGCUGGAAGGUUAAGAGGAGAUGUGCAAGCAUUGAAUCGAAGCCCCAGUGAACGGCGGCCGUAACUAUAACGGUCCUAAGGUAGCGAAAUUCCUUGUCAGGUAAGUUCUGACCCGCACGAAAGGCGUAAUGAUUUGGGCACUGUCUCAACAGCCCGCCCGGCGAAAUUGUAGUACCGGUGAAGAUGCCGGUUACCCGCGACAAGACGGAAAGACCCCAUGGAGCUUUACUGUAGCCUAAUAUUGGGUUUCGAUGUUGCAUGCACAGGAUAGAUGGGACUCUGGGAAACCAAGGCUUUGGCUUUGGCGGAGAGGCCGUUGGGAUACCAUCCUUGCGAUAUUGGAAUUCUAACCUGCGGCUCUGAAUCGAGUCGGGGGACAUUGUUAGGUGGGCAGUUUGACUGGGGCGGUCGCCUCCUAAAGAGUAACGGAGGCGUUCAAAGGUUCGCUCAGCUUGAACGGAAAUCAAGCAAAAGAGUGCAAACGCAGAAGCGAGCCUAACUGCGAGACUGACGGGUCGAGCAGUAACGAAAGUUGGAGUUAGUGAUCCGGUGGUAUGUGAGUGG
rnacentral:rRNA from 1 species